rnacentral:rRNA from 1 species
AGACCCGAAACCCGGUGAUCUAGCCAUGGGCAGGUUGAAGGUUGGGUAACACUAACUGGAGGACCGAACCGACUAAUGUUGAAAAAUUAGCGGAUGACCUGUGGCUGGGGGUGAAAGGCCAAUCAAACCGGGAGAUAGCUGGUUCUCCCCGAAAGCUAUUUAGGUAGCGCCUCGUGAAUUCAUCUCCGGGGGUAGAGCACUGUUUCGGCUAGGGGGCCAUCCCGGCUUACCAACCCGAUGCAAACUGCGAAUACCGGAGAAUGUUAUCACGGGAGACACACGGCGGGUGCUAACGUCCGUCGUGAAGAGGGAAACAACCCAGACCGCCAGCUAAGGUCCCAAAGUCAUGGUUAAGUGGGAAACGAUGUGGGAAGGCCCAGACAGCCAGGAUGUUGGCUUAGAAGCAGCCAUCAUUUAAAGAAAGCGUAAUAGCUCACUGGUCGAGUCGGCCUGCGCGGAAGAUGUAACGGGGCUAAACCAUGCACCGAAGCUGCGGCAGCGACACUCAGGUGUUGUUGGGUAGGGGAGCGUUCUGUAAGCCUGCGAAGGUGGCCUGUGAGGGUUGCUGGAGGUAUCAGAAGUGCGAAUGCUGACAUAAGUAACGAUAAAGCGGGUGAAAAGCCCGCUCGCCGGAAGACCAAGGGUUCCUGUCCAACGUUAAUCGGGGCAGGGUGAGUCGACCCCUAAGGCGAGGCCGAAAGGCGUAGUCGAUGGGAAACGGGUUAAUAUUCCCGUACUUGGUGUUACUGCGAAGGGGGGACGGAGAAGGCUAUGUUGGCCGGGCGACGGUUGUCCCGGUUUAAGCGUGUAGGUGUGUGUUCCAGGUAAAUCCGGUUCACUUUAACACUGAGGCGUGACGACGAGGCACUACGGUGCUGAAGCAACAAAUGCCCUGCUUCCAGGAAAAGCCUCUAAGCAUCAGGUAACAUCAAAUCGU